rnacentral:tRNA from 1 species
GAGGUUGUGGCUCAGUGGUAGAGCACUCGCCUGGCAUGUGUGAGGCCCUGGGUUCCGUCCUCAGCACCACA